rnacentral:rRNA from 1 species
AGUGAACGCUGGCGGUAGGCCUAACACAUGCAAGUUGAACGGCAGCACAGUAAGAGCUUGCUCUUACGGGUGGCGAGUGGCGGACGGGUGGGGAAUACAUCGGAAUCUACUUUUUCGUGGGGGAUAACGUAGGGAAACUUACGCUAAUACCGCAUACGACCUACGGGUGAAAUCAGGGGAUCUUCGGACCUUGCGCGAUUGAAUGAGCCGAUGUCGGAUUAGCUAGUUGGCGGGGUAAAGGCCCACCAAGGCGACGAUCCGUAGCUGGUCUGAGAGGAUGAUCAGCCACACUGGAACUGAGACACGGUCCAGACUCCUACGGGAGGCAGCAGUGGGGAAUAUUGGACAAUGGGCGCAAGCCUGAUCCAGCCAUACCGCGUGGGUGAAGAAGGCCUUCGGGUUGUAAAGCCCUUUUGUUGGGAAAGAAAGGCAGCAGGUUAAUACCCCGCUGUUCUGACGGUACCCAAAGAAUAAGCACCGGCUAACUUCGUG